rnacentral:misc_RNA from 2 species
AAUUCUCAACCUUUAUUAGCUUUUGCUGGUAAAUGGCUUGGAUGUGGGGGCUUGCUGGCUUUGGUCAGCUCCCCUUAAAUGCAUUAGCCGGUGCCCUGUGUGGACUGUCUAUUGGUGUGAUAAUUAUCUACGCCAUGGGAUGUCUGCAAUGGUUUUGCGCUGCUUCUAACCGUCUGUUCAUUCGGACAAUUUCAAUGACA